UACAGAGACUGCAAGCGUUAUUCGGAUUCACUGGGCGUAAAGGGCGCGUAGGCGGCGCGGGAAGUCCGUGGUGAAAGCCCGAGGCUCAACUUCGGGUCGGCCAUGGAUACUCCUGGGCUUGAGCACUGUAGAGGCAGGUGGAAUUCCGGGUGUAGCGGUGGAAUGCGUAGAGAUCCGGAAGAACACCGGUGGCGAAGGCGGGUCUCUGGGCAACAACUGACGCUGAGGAGCGAAAGCGUGGGUAGCAAACAGG
rnacentral:rRNA from 1 species